rnacentral:tRNA from 1 species
ACUUUUAUCGUUUAACUGGAUAGGACCUCUUCUUUUCAAGAAGAAAAUAGGAAUUCAAUUUUCCUUAAAAGUA